rnacentral:rRNA from 1 species
UGGCUCAGAACGAACGCUGGCGGCGUGCUUAACACAUGCAAGUGGAGCGACGAACCAGGCUUCGGCCUGGGGCAAAGCCGCGAACGGGUGAGUAACACGUGGGUAACGUGCCCCGAUGAUUGGGACAACCCGAGGAAACUCGGGCUAAUACCGAAUGUGCCCUCCGGCCACAAGGCCGCUGGGGAAAGGAAGCUUCGGCCUCCGCAUCGGGAUCGGCCCGCGGCCCAUUAGCUUGUUGGUGAGGUAACGGCUCACCAAGGCGACGAUGGGUAGCUGGUCUGAGAGGACGAUCAGCCACACUGGGACUGAGACACGGCCCAGAGUCCUACGGGAGGCAGCAGUGGG